UACGUAGGGGGCAAGCGUUGUCCGGAAUCAUUGGGCGUAAAGAGCGUGUAGGCGGCCUGGUAAGUCUGGUGUGAAAUCUUGGGGCUCAACCCCAAACUGUCACUGGAUACUGUCAGGCUUGAGUCCGGAAGAGGAGAGUGGAAUUCCUGGUGUAGCGGUGGAAUGCGCAGAUAUCAGGAGGAACACCUAUGGCGAAGGCAGCUCUCUGGUACGUGACUGACGCUGAGACGCGAAAGCGUGGGUAGCAAACAGG
rnacentral:rRNA from 1 species